GUCCGCCAUUGUUGUUUUGGUUUCCAAUGUUUGAGAAUUUUGUUAUGUGAAACGUCACUCAGAUGAGAGUCCAGCCCUAUUCAUAUUGAAGUUAGAGCAAAAAGUGUUUGCUCUUUCCCCUUUCCUUUACCUGAAUCGUCAGCAUCACCAAAGAUUCAGAUCAAACCCAGACCAAGACAUGGUGGCAACAAUUCUCAGAGUGUGGGUCUUGUACCUCCUCCUGUCCCCAAAAGUAGCUGUCACAAUCACCAAAUUUAAUGAAUCUGAUUAAUUUGAUGUCAACAAUUAGGGCCAGGCCCUAAGGUCUCGAAGACUCAUUCCUUUUUCAAGAAUUGGAUUUGGCAGGUUACGUGACUAGUUCGAUACUGAAGUCAAGUUGCACCGAGUCCAUAUCAGUGGCAGUUCAUUUCUCUAUAGCCCACUCCAUCAUCAAUUUCACGUGUGAUAUUAUCAGUCGAACAGCUUUUGUGACUACAAGUACGUCCACCACCCACCACUGUAUCAAACUGGAAACGGAUGUCUUGUUGUGUCUACUUCAUAUAGACGAAGUGCCCAGGCCUUUGCUGAAGAUUGCAGAAGAUGGCAUCACAGAUAUUGCAAUCAAAGCUAACGAUCUGCUGUCUAGAGAGCUGGGAGCACUCACUCACGUGACGGUCUCCGUUCUCGUCACGGAGAAAUUGAUCGACUCUUGGUAAACUUUAUCCACACGCAACCCAAAGGUCUGCUGCAGUCCGUGAAAGCUCUCGUUUCUUCAGUGGAGUGGCCAUUUGUACUCUGCCACGUGAAUCUUGUCUUGUUUUUACUGUCUAUGGUCGAAGGAAAGUGGCGUAAGUGAUCCAUGAAGUGGAUCACAAGCUGAACACAUCUAACUUAGAUGGACAGCAUAGAAUUUUUUUACCUUGAAACAAAUUGUACUCUCGUUCUGUAUAUCACUGUCAGUGCAAUUUCUUAGUCAGAAUUUCUUUCGGUAUCUGUGUCAGUGCUGUUGUGUG